rnacentral:siRNA from 1 species
UGAAUCAGAGAGUUUAGUGAGUGU